AUUGAACGCUGGCGGCAGGCUUAACACAUGCAAGUCGAGCGGGGGAAGGUAGCUUGCUACCGGACCUAGCGGCGGACGGGUGAGUAAUGCUUAGGAAUCUGCCUAUUAGUGGGGGACAACAUCUCGAAAGGGAUGCUAAUACCGCAUACGUCCUACGGGAGAAAGCAGGGGAUCUUCGGACCUUGCGCUAAUAGAUGAGCCUAAGUCGGAUUAGCUAGUUGGUGGGGUAAAGGCCUACCAAGGCGACGAUCUGUAGCGGGUCUGAGAGGAUGAUCCGCAACACUGGGACUGAGACACGGCCCAGAGUCCUACGGGAGGCAGCAGUGGGGAAUAUUGGACAAUGGGGGGAACCCUGAUCCAGCCAUGCCGCGUGUGUGAAGAAGGCCUUAUGGUUGUAAAGCACUUUAAGCGAGGAGGAGGCUACUUUAGUUAAUACCUAGAGAUAGUGGACGUUACUCGCAGAAUAAGCACCGGCUAACUCUGUGCCAGCCGCCGCCGUAA
rnacentral:rRNA from 1 species